rnacentral:lncRNA from 1 species
UUUUGUGCCAAUUACCAACGACUCUUCCCAAGUUCUUGAAAAUCCUUCUCUUCCCUUUCACGAACUGGUUUCUCCAACUGUUCAAUGUCUCCUGUUCAAGAAAUAUCUACCCUCACUCUCGAAACAUGCUUCCUCUCUCGACUACCCCUCACUCACUCCUAAAAUUCAAAAACUCAGAUCUGGAAACAAAAGGAUCAAACCACAAUCCCAGAGAUAAAGCCUAUGAUGUGGCUACUCGAUUAUCCUCCAAUUGAGCGAAGACAAUGGUGAUUUCGACCUCGAGAUUCCAUUUGUGAGUGGCGGACCGACAUUGAGCUUUGACCUGAGAGUGGUGGAGCUUUUGUUGCUGUUGGCGACCCAACUUUCAUUACCAUUUCGUCUGACUCUACCGGCGGUGUUAGUAGCGCCUAUGGUUACUUUCAUAAGUCUCACUCACGGGUGUGGUGAUUAUUUCGGUUAUCCUUCAUGGUAAGAACCCAUGAUUGUAUUUUAUUUUUUUGAUUUUAUCUAUUCUGUUAUUGAAUUGGGGUGCAAUUGGGAUUGUAGUGCCUUUAUAGCUGGGUUUUAGUUUAGAUUCCCUUCAAGUUUGAUUUGUUGUGGAACGAAAUGUUUUCAUUUUUGCGGCUUUCUUCAAACUGAGAUACUUGGCUUAGGUAAAAUAAUUUUGACUCUAAAUUGUAUUAUAGGAGUACUUCAGUUAGAGACUGAAGACACCAUAAUUAUCAGAUUUCUGUCUUCCCAAAAAUAUAAACUCCACUUUCUUGGUUGAAAUUUUUAGAUUAGUUUUUCGGUGCAGGUAACCCCUGUUCAGAAUUUCUUCUCCAUGCUUUAAUAAGCAAUGGGUGAAAAGUUGAUCUUCAAUUUCUGGUUGUUAAUUUUGACGUUAAGCUUAGUAUAAUAUUGUGAAGUACAACAGGAGCUGUGUUGGAGACAUGAAGAAAAAUAGGCUUAAGUUGCAGUCAAAUAAACCAUCUCUGAAGUCAGCGGACAUUAUUGGUCUUGGAACUGGAUGUGAGAUAGAAAAAAACUGAAAUAUGCUUAAGAUGUUUGUGCUUGUAUAAUUUUUUGGAAUCUACUGUUUCUUAACUAUGUCUGCAUAUACUUUUUUCGAUUUCAGGAGUCUACUAUUUCUUUAACUAUGUUUGCCUAUGUUAUAUUAAUUUUUUCAUAAAUACUUGAGAUUUUGCUAACAAUGUAAUAGCCAAAUGACUCUAUUCUAAACUAGUGAGCUGCCUGAAUAGCUCCAUUUAAAUAUUCCAAUUUCCGCCUGAUGUGAUCCAAGGGGAGUCAGAAAUUAUUGAGAAAUUGAUGAAGUCAACGAGCCAAAGUCCAAGAAUGUUGCUGGAGUCGAAGCCUAAAACAAACACAGUUGCAUGGUUGGAAGAAGCCGAAAGGAAGCCAAUUGUGCGACCGCACAGCAUUACCUCCAUGCGGUCGCACAUAGACCACCCUAGAAUCAAGAGGCAGGAAUUCAUGUAACCAUGCGACCACAGCUACCAUAACCAUGCAGUGGCAUGGGUUGUUGACGAAGACAAAAUUUUCCAUAUUUGCUAGAUCUUCUACUUUAUCUAGGAUUCUAUUCUUUUUGGUAAUUUCCAUAUUUUAGGAGAUUUAGUACGUUUUUAAAUUAUUUCCUAGUAUUUUAUUCCUUUUAAAAUUAGGUUUUAUAUUUCCAGUAUAAAUAGGAACAUUAUUUCAUUAUUGUAUAAGACUUUUCAUAUGAAUUAAUCAGAUUUUCUCUCGAAGCCAUUACUUCAAAAUUCUUGUUCUUGAUGGAACAAUUUAUCGAACUUAUCAAGAAGUGAUUCUUGUGACAUUCAAA